rnacentral:rRNA from 1 species
UACAGAGACUGCAAGCGUUAUUCGGAUUCACUGGGCGUAAAGGGUGCGCAGGCGGCCAAGUGUGUGAGGCGUGAAAGCCCGGGGCUUAACCCCAGAAUUGCACCUCAAACUACAUGGCUAGAGCAUUGGAGAGGGUAGCAGAAUUCACGGUGUAGCAGUGAAAUGCGUAGAUAUCGUGAGGAAUACCAGAGGCGAAGGCGGCUACCUGGACAAUUGCUGACGCUCAGGCACGAAAGCGUGGGGAGCAAAAGGG